CUGAAAAGCCUUUUCUCCUAUUAUGAUUUUUUUUCUAGGUGGAUUUUUGGGCUGUGGAUUCCUGAAAAGUCUAGGGUCCAUUGACUCGAUUGAUGUUGUCGACGACUACAUUUCGGAGGCUUUCUUUUGGAGGAUGGAAGCAGUCGUGGGUCAAAGUUUGCUACUCUAUGUACUUGGUUUAGGACAAAUGUUCGAGUUUUUUUUCUCUUUUUCACCGCACAUAGAACUGCAAGGGAAUAUAGUCAAGGAGACCCAAAAGAUCGAUUGACUUGGUGAUCUCAAUUAAACAAAGGAAGCUCGGGUAAGGCACCGGCUUUCUGAAACUUGUUGAUGGACGUACAGAAAGGAUGAAGCAGUGGGGUGUGGGUAAUUUAGUAAUGGAUGCACCAUGUAUUUUGAAAACGCUACUAAGUGUUUAAAGUAAAUAAUAUUUAUGGAUGUAAAUAUGCUAUGUAAUGAAAGUAAAGUAUACGAGACAA